rnacentral:rRNA from 1 species
AACGAACGCUGGCGGCAGGCUUAACACAUGCAAGUCGAGCGCCCCGCAAGGGGAGCGGCAGACGGGUGAGUAACGCGUGGGAAUCUACCCAUCUCUACGGAAUAACGCAUGGAAACGUGUGCUAAUACCGUAUACGUCCUUCGGGAGAAAGAUUUAUCGGAGAUGGAUGAGCCCGCGUUGGAUUAGCUAGUUGGUGGGGUAAAGGCCUACCAAGGCGACGAUCCAUAGCUGGUCUGAGAGGAUGAUCAGCCACGCUGGGACUGAGACACGGCCCAGACUCCUACGGGAGGCAGCAGUGGGGAAUAUUGGACAAUGGGCGCAAGCCUGAUCCAGCCAUGCCGCGUGAGUGAUGAAGGCCCUAGGGUUGUAAAGCUCUUUCACCGGUGAAGAUGAUGACGGUAACCGGAGAAGAAGCCCCGGCUAACUUCGUGCCAGCAGCCGCCGUAAGAC